GAUGAACGCUGACAGAAUGCUUAACACAUGCAAGUCUUUGGCGAAGCUGUGCUUGCACAGCCUAGCCAAGGCGGACGGGUGAGUAACGCGUAAGGAACUUGCCCUGCAGUCAGGUAUAACAGACGGAAACGACUGAUAAGACCUGGUAAAGUCAGGCGGACUCAUGUCCAGCCUGAUGAAAAGAGAUGCUGCAUGAGAGCCUUGCGUCCUAUUAGCUUGUUGGUGGGGUAACGGCCCACCAAGGCGAUGAUAGGUAGCCGGCCUGAGAGGGUGGACGGCCACAAGGGGACUGAGAUACGGCCGUUACUCCUACGGGAGGCAGCAGUGGGGAAUAUUGGACAAGGGGGGCAACCGUGAUCCAGAAAUUCUGUGUGCAAGAUGAAGGUUUUCGGAUUGUAAAGUGCUUUCAGCAGGGAAGAAAAAAAUGACGGUAACUGCAGAAGAAGCGACGGCUAAAUACGUG
rnacentral:rRNA from 1 species